UACGUAGGGUGCAAGCGUUGUUCGGAAUCACUGGGCGUAAAGGGAGCGUAGGCGGGAUCGUAAGUUAGGAGUUUAAUCCACGGGCUCAACUCGUGGUCUGCUUUUAAUACUGCGGUUCUUGAGUAUGGGAGAGGGCGAUGGAAUUCCAGGUGUAGCGGUGGAAUGCGUAGAUAUCUGGAAGAACACCAGUAGCGAAGGCGGUCGCCUGGCCCAAUACUGACGCUGAUGCUCGAAAGCUAGGGGAGCAAACAGG
rnacentral:rRNA from 1 species